GAGACUUAUCAAACAACCGCCUGUCAGGGCCUGUUCCAGAUAUGGCUCAUUUUCGCUUGUUACUCCCAUCAGUUUUGCAAAUAACUUGAUCUGUGCGGGCCAGUUAUUGGGAAGCCUUGCCCUGGAUCUCCACCAGUUGCUUCACCACCUCCAUUUGUUCCACCUGCAACGGUUUCUUCUCCAGG